UACGUAGGGGGCAAGCGUUGUCCGGCUUUACUGGGCGUAAAGAGCGCGCAGGCGGUCGUUCAAGUCGCGUGUGAAAGCCCCCGGCUCAACUGGGGAGGGUCACGCGAUACUGAUCGACUCGAAGGCAGGAGAGGGUAGUGGAAUUCCCGGUGUAGUGGUGAAAUGCGUAGAUAUCAGGAAGAACACCGAUGGCGAAAGCAGCUCUCUGGGACGGUACUGACGCUGAGGCGCGAAAGCCAGGGGAGCAAACGGG
rnacentral:rRNA from 1 species